GACGAACGCUGGCGGCGUGCUUAACACAUGCAAGUCGAACGGAAAGGCCCUGCGUGUGUGGGGUGCUCGAGUGGCGAACGGGGGAGUAACACGUGAGUAACCUGCCCUUGACUUUGGGGUAACUUCAGGAAACUGGAGCUAAUACCGGAUAGGAUAUGCUGCUGCAGGGAGGGGGUUGGAACGUUUCGGCGGUUGGGGAUGGACUGGCGGCUGAUCGGCUAGUUGGUGGGGUAGGGGCCGACCAAGGCGAGGAUGGGUAGCUGGCCUGAGAGGGUGAUCGGCCACACUGGAACUGAGCCAGGGGCCAGAGUCCUACGGGAGGCAGCAGUGGGGAAUAUUGGACAAUGGGCGCAAGCCUGAUCCAGCCAUACCGCGUGGGUGAAGAAGGCCUUCGGGUUGUAAAGCCCUUUUGUUGGGAAAGAAAAGCAGCAGGUUAAUACCCCGCUGUUCUGACGGUACCCAAAGAAUAAGCACCGGCUAACUUCGUG
rnacentral:rRNA from 1 species